rnacentral:lncRNA from 1 species
CUAAACUUAUCUACCUUUGCAAGAGCAUCCUCUUUCGAAGAGACCAAGUAUUAGUUAGCUGAGAUAAAGAAAGCUUUCGCGACUCUUGAGAUGACUCUUGAACAGAAGGUGAUACUUACUACCUACAUGCUCGUGAGAGAGGCAAGUCAUUGGUGACAAUUAAAGCAGGCCACCUUGCUCAUUCCAGUCUCUUGGGAACAGUUCCUGAUGACCUUUAAUGCAGAGUACCUCCUAGAGCACUUUUGGCAUUUGAAGGAAAUAAAGUUUGUACACCUAGUCUAUGGUGAUGUGACUAUGUCAGAGUAUGCUCGAAGGGUCCUAGAGUUGGAUCGGUAUUCCUGCGAGAGUAUGAUGGAUGAAGGUAGAAAAACAUGAAAGUUCAAGUGGGGCAUCCGUCUUGAUAUCAGACAACAGCUGUAUGUGUUUAAGCUCAGUACGUACUCUGCUGUUCUGGCCAAGACACAAGUAGUAGAGAGGAACCUGCAUAUCUUCUCUCCAGUAGUGAGAAAUUUCAGACUUUUAGUUUCACACCGCAGACCAGCACCCACUGUAUCGGUUCAACAGAACAAGAGGCCUAGGUCUGUGGCUAAAGCUCUUCCUCAAG